AUUGAACGCUGGCGGAAUGCUUUACACAUGCAAGUCGAACGGUAGAGGGGGCAACCCCUCGAGAGUGGCGAACGGGUGAGUAAUAUAUCGGAACGUGCCCAGUCGUGGGGGAUAACGUAGCGAAAGUUACGCUAAUACCGCAUACGAUCUACGGAUGAAAGCGGGGGAUCGCAAGACCUCGCUCGAUUGGAGCGGCCGAUAUCAGAUUAGGUAGUUGGUGGGGUAAAGGCUCACCAAGCCAACGAUCUGUAGCUGGUCUAGGAGGAAGACCAGCCACAAUGGAACUGAGACACGGUCCAGACUCCUACGGUAGUCAGCAGUGGGGAAUUUUGGACAAUGGACGCAAGUCUGAUCCAGCCAUUCCGCGUGCAGGAUGAAGGCCCUCGGGUUGUAAACUGCUUUUGUACGGAACGAAAAGGUUUCCAUUAAUACUGGGAGCUCAUGACGGUACCGUAAGAAUAAGCACCGGCUAACUACGUGCCAGCAGCCGCCGUAA
rnacentral:rRNA from 1 species